rnacentral:rRNA from 1 species
CGGGAAAUCUUACCGGGUCCGGACACACUGAGGAUUGACAGAUAUACGCUCAUUGCAGUGCUUCGGCGCCGCAUGGGCUGAAAGAUGCUAGUUCUUUCAUGAUUAUGUGAUAGGUGGUGCAUGGCCGUUCUUAGUUCGUGGAGUGAUCUGUCUGCUUAAUUGCGUAUCAAUAAUAGAGACCUAGUAUACGCGUGGAUUUCGCGUGGUAGUGACCCCCUGUUUAACCGCAGGCGUGUGUCGCACACGCGUACCACGCACUGGUCUCAGAUAGCAACGAACGUGACCGUAUUCUAUUGUUGCAGUGAAAUGUACCUUCG